rnacentral:piRNA from 1 species
UCUAAGGACCUGGAAUGGCUUUGGGGAGC